GGCCUACCAAGGCAAAGACGGGUAGGGGGCGUGAGAGCGUGACCCCCCACACUGGCACUGGGACACGGGCCAGACUCCUACGGGAGGCAGCAGUGAGGAAUAUUGCGCAAUGAGCGAAAGCUAGACGCAGCAACGCCGCGUGGGUGAUGAAGGCCUUCGGGUCGUAAAACCCUUUUCUGGGGGAAGAGUAAGGACGGUACCCCAGGAAUAAGCCUCGGCUAACUAUGUGCCAGCAGCCGCGGUAAUACAUAGGAGGCAAGCGUUAUCCGGAUUUACUGGGCGUAAAGAGCGUUGAGGCGGCUUCGUAAGUUGGACGUGAAAGCUCCCGGCUUAACUGGGAGAGGCCGUUCAAUACUGCGGGGCUUGAGGACAGCAGAGGGGGGUGGAAUUUCCGGUGUAGUGGUGAAAUGCGUAGAUAUCGGAAGGAACACCAGUGGCGAAGGCGGCCCCCUGGGCUGCUCCUGACGCUGAAGGCGAAAGCUAGGGUAGCGAACGGGAUUAGAAACCCCGGUAGUCCUAGCCGUAAACGAUGGAUACUAGGUGUAGGAGGUUAAAAUUCCUUCUGUGCCGGAGCUAACGCGUUAAGUAUCCCGCCUGGGGAGUACGGUCGCAAGGCUAAAACUCAAAGGAAUUGACGGGGGCCCGCACAAGCAGCGGAGCGUGUGGUUUAAUUCGAUGCAACGCGAAGAACCUUACCAGGGCUUGACAUGUAGGUAGUAGUGAAGCGAAAGCGGAACGAUCCUUCGGGAAGCCUACACAGGUGCUGCAUGGCUGUCGUCAGCUCGUGCCGUGAGGUGUUAGGUUAAGUCCUGUAACGAGCGCAACCCCUGCCGUUAGUUACAAGUGUCUAACGGGACUGCCCGGCAAAACUGGGAGGAAGGUGGGGAUGACGUCAAGUCAGCAUGGCCUUUAUGUCCUGGGCUACACACACGCUACAAUGGCCGGUACAAUGGGUUGCCAAGCCGCGAGGCGGAGCCAAUCCUCUAAAGCCGGUCUCAGUUCGGAUUGUAGGCUGCAACCCGCCUGCAUGAAGUUGGAGUUGCUAGUAACCGCAGGUCAGCCACACUGCGGUGAUACGUUCCCGGGCCUUGUACACACCGCCCGUCACGUCAUGGAAGCUGGUAACACCUGAAGCCGGUGAGCUAACCGC
rnacentral:rRNA from 1 species